CAGUGUGCUGCAUUCAGGGCUCCGUGGCUGUCAGACUAUCCGUCCUCUCUUCUUCCUCUGUAUCAGUAGCAGCUUCCUGGUGUAUCGCUGUGAUGGACCGCUGGAAGAGCAGAGUGGCUCUGGUGACUGGAGCCUCGGUGGGGAUCGGGGCGGCCGUAGCCAAAGAGCUGGUCCGCUGUGGGAUGACAGUGGUGGGCUGUGCCAGGAACUUGGACAAAAUCCAGGAACUGGCAGCAGAGUGUACAAAAGCAGGCUACAGUGGUGUUUUGGUGCCGAUCAAGUGUGAUUUGACCAAAGAGGAGGACAUCCUGUCCAUGUUUGCAACCAUCAAAGCGCAGCACAAAGGUGUAGAUGUUUGCAUCAACAACGCUGGAUUGUCUCUUCAAGGUUCACUAUUAAGUGGCACAACGAGCGGCUGGAGAAACAUACUGGAUGUGAACGUUCUUGCCUUGUCCAUCUGCACACGUGAAGCGUAUCAGUCGAUGAAGGAAAGAAAUGUCGAUGACGGACACAUCAUCAACAUAAACAGUGUGUUGGGACAUUUGGUAGGUCCAGUUAAUGAUGUUCAUUUUUACGCUGCCACCAAGUUUGCAGUGACCGCCCUGACUGAAGGCCUGAGGCAGGAGCUGCGUGAGGCCAAGAGCCACAUCCGGGCCACAAGUAUUUCUCCUGGAGUUGUGGACACUGAAUUUGGUUAUCGAAUGUACAGCGACGAUCCAAGUAAAGCUGAAGCUCUGUACAGUCGACAUAAGAAUCUAUCUGGACUGAAUGUUGCUCAGGCUGUUUUGUAUGUCCUCGGUGCUCCUCCACAUGUGCAGAUUGGAGAAAUCUUGCUCCGUCCUGUGGAGCAGCAGCUUUAAUGAUGCCACCAGUGACGUGACACCUGAUGAAUUCUGAAUGAGCCAUGCUUCCUCGUGGAAGAUCUCCUCGGAGAUGACUCCAUAGCAGGGUCAGUGAGGUAGCUGGGUGCUUCAGUGCUGCUAACUGGUAACAAGCUAAAGGUUAGCAGAGUCCAGCUUCCUGCCUUAGAGCCUGGCCUUGCAGAAAGAAGGACAAAGAGCUGGAUGAUAUGGAGUUGGAUGCUUUUAAUAAGUGGCACUGACUUUGAGUGAAAACUGCAGAAAUUCAGAUCAAACCUUGAUUUUGUCCACGUUCCUGGCACAGCCCACCACCUUCAUCCCACAGCGGACCAGCUCUUUGGCUACGACCGCCCCGAUCCCCACCGAGGCUCCGGUCACCAGAGCCACUCUGCCCUUCCAGCGCUCCAUCACAGCGAUACACCGAGAACCUGCUCCAGACUGAUACUGAGGAAGAACUGAAGACGGAGUGUCUGACAGCCAAGGAGCCCUGAAUGCAGCACACUGGAGACUGUGCGUCCCUGCCAAGAUUAAACACUCUCUACGCUGCUUUCAGGAUCCAGAUGGACUGUAGGAAAUCCGAUAAAUCAGCUCUGUCCCAAGAAGACUGUGAAAUAAAAUCCAGCUACCAAACUUUC